GAGAGCCGGAUGCGGGAGAUCCGCACGUCCGGUUCGGAGGGAGGGGUGGCGCAAUUCAAUGCGCUAUCCCUACCCCUAU
rfam:Deltaproteobacteria bacterium RBG_16_47_11 RBG_16_scaffold_12228, whole genome shotgun sequence.